rnacentral:lncRNA from 1 species
ACGAUCACGUGUUAAUGGUGCAUAGAAUGAUAGGAAGCAAAACCGGAACUGGAGGAUCAUCAGGCAUUCAGUAUCUACAAUCUACAGUCAGGUACUAGUCAAAUAUUACAAAUUCACGUAAAAGAUAUUCGUUAGCUGGUGUAAAUUUUUAUUAAAAAAGGACAUAGUCUUAUGAUUAUUAAACAACAAUUGUUGAGUGAUAAAACAAGUAUCAAAGCACAAUUCAUUUGUACUAAAAGAUUGUUUGGUGUUGAACUUUGCUAUUAAAUGCUCCGAAAUGACAAUGUAAAAAAAAAUUCAAACGAGAGAGAGAACUUACACUUUGAUUUGAGUACAAAACAUUAACGAAAAACAAAUAAUAUACAUCAAUAAAUGUCAAACACUAAAUUGCAAGUUCCUGACUUUAGACAGACACUUACAGAAUGUGGCGGUUGCCGAGCCUUCCAAUAUCCUUAAGCACAGCAGUCCACACAGUGCUUCAUCUGUAUACCUGAUCUAAAAGAUUAUUUUAAAUUGAUCGUAAUUUAUUUACUUAAGAAAUAAUUCCUUCAUGUCAUGCUCAUUUUAACAUGGGUAGGCAUUAUAUUUGUCGAUAUUUCACACUGAGCGUUAGCGAGGUGUAAAAUGUGGUCAAAUAUAAUGCCUACCUAUGUUAAAAUGAGCAUAGAGCAUGACAUGGAGGAAUUAUUUCGAUUCUAAUAGGACAAAUACAGUAUUUUUAUAGGUCGAAGCGUACGAAAAAUCCGUAAAAAUGUUUAGCUGUUCCCGUUUCCUCCCCGAGGAGUCUGUACAUUACAUUUCAUAUGUUUAAAAAAUACGAGCAGGGUAAAUAUAUGUUGUUCGAUAUAACAUAAAUUAUAAAAGUUUAUGUAAGCUACUUAAAUGUAUAUAUUUUAUAGGAUAAUGAUGGAAAUAACUUUAAUAUAAACAGUAAAUUUGUGUGCAUGUGUCAAACAUAUUUUGUGUUCAUUAGGACACGCCUUUGUUUACAAAGCGUAAUAAGGACGUCAUAUUAGAAUUGUUAUUAGUACAUAACAAUACACAUAGUAUUACGUUAAAUGAACAAGGAUACGACAACGAAAAUGUUUUAUCGACAAAUGGAUCAUAUAUCCGUUGAUACACACAUUUUAAAUACUUUAUUUUUAACAUUGUAUUUUUAAAAUUCUAAUAAACCAAAAAAAUCAAUCAUUGUAUCAUCUGAAAUUGUUUUGUAAAUAAGGUAAAAUUUUGUUAUUGGCCUACAUAUUGAAGUCAAUAUUAUAUAAAUAACACAUAGCAGGGAGGGUGAUAGAGUAGAUUGGUACCCCGAGAAAACAUUGUAAAUCGCGGCGAAGCCAAGGUUUACAAUGCUUUUUCGAGGGGUACCAAUCUACUCUAUCACCCUCUCAGCUAUGUGUUAUUUAAUUUAUUAUACUGAAUGUUUAAUCAUUAUUGUCUUUUACAGAUACAUUUUAUUUUAAAGUAUUUUCUAGGAACGUCACGUAAAUAACAACGUUACGGGUAUAAAAAAUCAACAGAAUGGAAUCAAGAUGGGUUUUUUUUAUUUUGCAGUCAAAUAAUAGAAUAUGAGCUAAAAUGUAGAACUUUAUCAUUGUCUUUAAUAACGUGAUGUAAAUUCAAUUCAUUGUCCUUUUAAUUAUCGAUUUUUGAUUGGUCUAGACGAGAGGGUAACAUUAAAAAAAAUUGUCACCCUCUCAGCCAUGUGAUUGAGUAAAUUAACACCCUCGUAUCAGCCAAUCAAAAUAUGGCAUUUUAACGUGAAGUAUAAUAAUAAGACAUAUUUUUAUUUUCAGCGACAAGUACAGAGUAUUCAUCGAUUUUUUCAACGUGUCAACUUUUCUAAUUCCACGAAAGAAUUUAGAAGCUGUAUAAAAUACUGACAAAUCUUAAGAUUAUAUUUUUGUUUUUUU